UUUUCUGUCGUUUCCAGAGAUGCCUCUGCAGGUGGGAAUGGGAGAUAGACAGAUCUUGCUGGAUGCUCCUACCUGCUCCAGUGUGUCCCACAGAGGCCGUCUGGCAUUGCUGCUCAGCAACACUGCUGCUGUUUCAGCAGAUGCCUGUGUGGUGGGUAUUUAGAUGGAAGUAGGGAUGUAUUAGCAGCUUGCUGGGAAAUCAAGAAUGCUUGCUAAUUGAUGUAGAAGGGAGCACACUGCAGCCACUUCUGUCUGAAAUACCAAACUGUGAUCUUUGGAGACCACAUCUCCCAACAUGGGUGGUUCCUCUCAACCUGAGUGUUGUUGGUGCCACAGACCUGUAGUCCACCAAACACAGCUCCAUCCUGAAGAUGUGAAUAGUCACUGGAUGCCUUUAGCUUGGGUGCCCCUUGCACCUAAAUUCCUUGUGCUUUAUUGUCAUGCUCUUGGUGUUUGUGAAUUAUGGCACUGUGGUUGAAAGUUCCCCUACACGGCAGGGUGGGAAAUUAUUAUCCUGUAGUAUACUCAAAAGCUGCUGCUUUGCAAGGAGAGGUUUGCUGGUACGCCGUGGGUACCUUGUGCAUUUCUAUCCGACAGUACAGUGGGUUGAGUUGUGGAGGUUGGGUUUAUGUCUUUCUCUUUCUCCGUACUCAGCUCUUCCACACAUUGCGUGAGAACUAACAACAUGAACAUAAAAGCAAGGGCUGUGCUCUUCAAGUAAUAUUAUCAGAGCAGAAGCUUAGCACUCAGCUAGAACUAAAUCAACCAACUUUUUAGCUCCCAGACUAAUAAGGAAGGUUUAAAAAUGAAAGCCAGGAGGACUGAUACCUGUCUGAGCUUGAUGAGAUCUUGAAGUAGUCACAAAAUUUUCCCCGCACCUCACAGGGGAAAACACUCCAGACCCAAAUACUUUGGUCUUCAUGCCAUUGUCAUGCCUAAAAGAGGCUUUGCAUGAGGCAGAACAAAAAUACAGCUGCUCUUUACAUCCAUUCCUGCAGCUGCAACUAGCUGCAAAUAUUUACUAUUUGCAGACAACAAAGCUUGACAGAGGAAUCUGGAUGGUAAUAACCUUGAUUCAUUUGAACAUAGGUACAAACAGUCACACUGAUGGCCAUUGAGUCCGAAGAACUCUGAAGUUGUUCACAUCUACAGGAAUUGUUCUGGAAAGGAGCAUGAGAGCUGUGAUGGGUUGGCUGGGAGCACAGGGUACUCCUUGGACAUCUGAACAGGGAAAUUUCUAGAAAUAGGUGACAGGAAUUACCUCUUUAUAUGACAGUCUCAGUGUUGCCAAUGCUAAGAAUUUAUUUCACCUAGCUCAAAGUUUUUGCUGUUUUCCAUUGACAUUGUUCACCCUGGUAGAGUAAGAAGCGCAGCUUCUAGUCUAAGAACAUGCUCUCAUCUUUGCAGAGAAGCAUUGGGAACUCCAAGGUCAGGUUGUGGUUUGAGGGACUGAGCCAAUGUUGUCACCAAAAACAGUGGUUCCUCCAAGUUCCAGCUGCUUCGUUGCACCAUCCCACCCCUUUACACUGGUGCAGCUAUUUGGUGAAGUGUCUGGAAAUGCUGAUCCUGCACGACACCAAGUGCUCUGGUUUGCUGGUUUGGUUUUCAUCUGGUUCAGUUCAUCCAUCUGGUCCAGCAUUUGGUCACACAACAGAAGUGGGGGAAGGAGAGGACAGAGAAUGUGACCACUUCUAGUGGCACUAUAACUUCGUGUGAGUUUGAAGUGUGGGUCAAACUACAACCUAAAUAUGCCCUGCAUGUUUAGAAACUAGAAACAGAAUAAACCCAAACACAGAUUCUUUCCAGAAAUAUAAACUGUAAUGGCAGUCCUAUUAAUUUGUUGGGGGACUAUUCAUUUUAGAAUGCUCAGACGGUAAGACUUUUGUCAUGAAGCCUUUACCAGAUGCUCCAUCCAGGUCUUAGAUGCACUUGCCAAAAAUGACAUUGAAAGAGCUUGGGAAAAGAGCUACAGGACUGUUAACAGGGUUGGCAAACCUGCCUUAUCAUGGGAGGCCAAUAAAGCACAAUCAAUGUAGUUGUUCAAGAGAAAGUUUAAAGGAGAGUUUUCCAUGGCCCAGCUAUACCCAUGUCAGGAAGGAAGCUCCAGGGCAGAGAUCUUCUGUCUGGCACAUGAAAGCAGGGAAGACAGAGUAGCCAAGAAUGGCAGAUGAAGAAAUCAGGCAGGCUUUUAGUCAUGAAGCAACUGUCCAGUGAGAACUUUCACAGGAAUGUGGGGACUUUUUUCUUAUUAAAAGAUUUUCUGAGAAACCUGUCUUCUAAGAGGUCUUCCUACCAUAACCCAAUCAAAAGUAGCAGGCAAGAUGCUGGCAACACCAAGAUAUCAUCGCUGUGGUGCAGUAGAUUCCUGGCCCUGCCAGACACAUGCCAAAGCUAUCACAUGUUGGAGAACCACCAGAGAGGUCCUGGAGGUUUCAGAAAGCCAGUGAAAGAUUUCCUGCACAGAAAAUAACAGCCAUUCCCAGUGUUGUUUGACAGGGCUGGGCUGAGGGUGCAGCUGGGUCCACAGAGUUCUGGGACUGGCAUGAGUUGUCUCUCCUUGUGGUUGUGCUACCAGCCUCCCUGCCCCGGCACAGCCCCAGUUCCCAGCUGUCCCUGGCGUGGAGCAGAGCAGGAGAGUGCCUCACCAGCACAGUGCUCCCCUAGUCAUUUUGGAUGAGAGUGGGCUGCACCAUCAGGUGCGAUGGCAGUGGAAGUUGGCUGACUGCAGCAAUGCUUUCUCCCCAGACAGCCUGCACAGGAGCUGCCAGGCGCUGUCACUGAAAGGUUUCUAAGGGUUGUUCCUGCAAGGCUUGACUGUCCCCAUGUAUCCCACAGGUUUGGGUCUCUGGGCCUGCUCCCCUUCCCAGUGGCAAGUGAUGCUGUGAUCUUGGUUGAAUGUCACAUUGCCUCUUUCAUGCUUUCACUGAAGUUAUUUUUACAGGAGAUUCAGUGCUGGGCUCUUCCAGCCAAGUGGAUAUCAAGAAUUUGCUAACAAGAGGUGGUCCUCAGAGCUGCAUUUUGCCAGCAGAGCCAGUCACAAGGUGCUGCCUGGCCCAGGCAUACUCGUAAGCCCCCUGUUAGCAGCCCAUGUGCUGCAGAAGAUGAUGCCUUGAUCCCUCUUUCAGGUGUCAGCAGAGGGACUCGGGAAAGCCCCUGCCAUGUGGGUGCUGCUCUGGUUCUCCUCCCUGUCUCUGAUUUUCAAGGUUCUGCCCUUCAAUUGCCAUGCCUGUUGCUGCACUCCAAGGGGCUGGGACCGUAGUAACAGCAGAGCCAGCUGACGUCAAGACAGGUUGGCAGCAUCUUCAUGAGCAUCGGGGUUUGUAUCUCUGUGAGGCCAGAGAAUAGCCCUGGUUGCAGGCUGUGGUGAGCCAUGAUCCUAAGCACAUCCAGGGUCCCUUGAAAUGACAGUGAUUUGUAUGCCAUAACUCUCCUGUCCCCUCAUUCCUAAUAUACCUCUUCUAGAAAAUCUUGUCUUCAAAGUUACUGUGUAUUCCCUGCAGGUCAGUCCCUCUCUGGCUGGGGGCUUGAAGCCCUCCUGGAUUUCUGCAAAGCUUGAGGCAGACUUGGCCGCCAACCUAUGCAGCAGGCCCUGCGCCAUGCAGAAUGGUGCUCUGGGUUAUAAGGAGGAACAUUAUGCCAUUUAUUUCUGGAACUGCAAGUGUCUGGAAAGCAGGUUUGAAGUAUGCUUGAUGCCCUCUGUGCUAAAAGGAGGAAGGGAGCUACCACAGCAAAUCCGGAGGUGGGUUCCUGGUAGGGACCAAGGUGAGAACUCCUCCUGCUCUUAGCUCCUAAACCAGAGGGGGCUGCAGGGGUGAGAUCUCUGCUUUGGCAAGGGUACUGCUGGGCUGGUAUCAGCAUGGGGCUUGCCAGUAGCUGCUCUGCCUCUGGCUUGCCUCAUAUUGCCUCUGCCCUGAGUGCAAGGAGGUCUGACACAGGGUCGCUGGGGAGGCAGGGGCUGACAUUCACUCAGCACUUGGGUAAAUGGCUGCUGGGGUGCAAGGCACAGGCUCUCGGACCAUCGCCUAUGGAUGGUGUGAUGAGCUCUGCAGGACGUGGGGGUUUAGGCGAGGAGUCCAGGUGUAAAAGUGCAUGUGAAAACCAGUGUCGGCGACACUGCUGUGCGAUGGGACCUGGGCUGCUUCUUCUCCAGACAGGAAUUGGAGCUGGAAACGUGGAUAAUUUUGUAUAUCUCCUUUUAACACAAUAGCACGUGACUCUACACUCAGACAUUGUAUCUGGCGCACCGACAUUGUUUUCUUUCGCCUCUGGCACAGUCUGACAGCGAAGUCUUUUGGCCUGGAGACAGGACUUCUGCUCCUUGGUACUGCCUACCUGGAAAUGCGACUGCGUCCCAAGGCUAAAUCUCUCUACGUAUCUUCUUUGCAUUCUUUAGGAAAGCAGCUGGAGAAUGUUUACACACUGCAAACAGAAUGUAUGACUCCGACUGAGGAACCACAAUCCGGUUCAACUGCAUGGCAAAUUUCUUGGCCAUAAAAUCUGGCAUGCAUCACAGAGGCCCUGUCUGUGUACAGAUCCACAUGGCAUUUGUCAUAACUUCAGAUCACAUCUUUAAAAAAAAUAAAUUAUGCCAUUUCUUGUUCAUAUCAGACACAGUUGUCAUUAGCUUUGUUAUUAAAAGGGGAUUCUUGAUCAUGCCAUUAAAAGCCUGUCUACUUUUCA